rnacentral:rRNA from 1 species
AUUGAACGCUGGCGGAAUGCUUUACACAUGCAAGUCGAGCGGCAGCGCGGGGCAACCUGGCGGCGAGCGGCGAACGGGUGAGUAAUGCAUCGGAACAUGUCCAGUCGUGGGGGAUAGCCCGCCGAAAGGCGGAUUAAUAACGCAUACGCCCGGGAGGGGAAAGCGGGGGACCGCAAGGCCUCGCGCGAUUGGGUUGGCCGAUGUCCGAUUAGCUAGUUGGUGGGGUAAAGGCCCACCAAGGCGAUGAUCGGUAGCUGGUCUGAGAGGAUGAUCAGCCACACUGGGACUGAGACACGGCCCAGACUCCUACGGGAGGCAGCAGUGGGAAUUUUGGACAAUGGGGGCAACCCUGAUCCAGCCAUUCCGCGUGAGUGAAGAAGGCCUUCGGGUUGUAAAGCUCUUUUGUCCGGAGCGAAACGGGGGCGGUGAACAGCCGCUCUCACUGACGGUACCGGAAGAAUAAGCACCGGCUAACUACGUGCCAGCAGCCGCAGUAAUAC